UACGAAGGGGGCUAGCGUUGCUCGGAAUCACUGGGCGUAAAGGGUGCGUAGGCGGCUUUUUAAGUCAGGGGUGAAAUCCUGGAGCUCAACUCCAGAACUGCAUUUGAUACUGAGAAGCUUGAGUCCGGGAGAGGUGAGUGGAACUGCGAGUGUAGAGGUGAAAUUCGUAGAUAUUCGCAAGAACACCAGUGGCGAAGGCGGGUCACUGGCCCGGUACUGACGCUGAGGUGCGAAAGCGUGGGGAGCAAACAGG
rnacentral:rRNA from 1 species